AACGAACCUCAAUCCUAGGGGACAGGCCAGCAGGAUCUCAGCCCUCUGUCACUGCCUGUGCAGCCUGGGAGAUCCCCUGACCUCCCUGUGCCUUGGUUUUCCAUUCUGUAGAAGGUGGGGGUGGGGGCUGGCACAUAAGUAGGGUAAGUCCCUGGGAAUGCUCUGGCCCUGGGAUUGGAUGGGGUGUGGCAGGUGUCAUAUAAUUAAAAAUUAGCAUUCUAUUGAACCAGGUGAAACUGACUUUCUUGUGGAUGAAAAACGGUCAAAUAUAGGCAAUUUCAUAUGGUUCAACCUACACAAUAAUUCUAAUAAUCGGGCUUUGUAGGGACCGUGAUAAUAGCGUUGAGCCAUACAGUAGAUCCAUUUAGUACAAAGAAAUGAGGGGCUGGGUAAAAGGAUCCCUGAGUUCUCUUUCAGACCUGUCUAUUUUGGGGUGUCGAGAGUUUGCCCUGAGUGGCACAAAACAAAUCACCCUCUCAACCUGAGCCAAGCAAAGAAGGUUCACCUGCCCCAUUUGGUCCACAGGGCCAAAUGCUUGGGACCCCGAACUCCCACCCCACUCACCUCGCAUAGGAGCAAAGAUUCUGGUGUGGAGUGGAGCAAGAAGGGCGGAGAAACGCCUAAAACGGGGAGGGGAAGAAAGGAAGAGCAAAUACACAGAGCAGGACACACAGAGCCACACAGGGACACAGGCAGGGACUCUCACAGGGACACACCCACACACUUGUCAGUUCAUUGCUGAAGCACAUAGAGUGUUCAGAAAAGAGGGGGGAAUGAGACACAGUCAGGUGAAGAGCGCCGGAAACGCUGAGAGGCCCCGGGGCCCAGUAGGGGGCGCUGUGACGAGCGCCCGGUGAGGGUGAGGGUGAGGGCUGCCAGCGAGGUGGGCGCGGGCGAGGUGGGCAUGGGCUGCGGGGAGGCGGAGAGGGCUGAAAAGCCCCGGGGCAGCCUGAGCGCGGGGUUCCCUCGGCUGCGGGCUGGGAGUCUGGUCUGGGCCCGCACUGUUGUCCCGGGUUCUGACACCGUAGGCUGAGCCAGACCCCGGAGACCCUGGGUUGCGGGGGAGGUGAGGCCGGACCCAGGAGUGGCGACCGGCGGGGCUGUGGCUGGUCCCUUAACGAUGAUGGCCACCUCACAACUGGGCCUUGUUAGAAGAAAAAAUCUCCGGGAUGUGAGGGCCCCGGCGGCCUCUGUGCGCUUCCCUGCACCCGGCUGUGUGAGGUGGGGAGAGCUGGGAUCCACCUACAAGGAGCAGAGGCGCCAGACAGCAGCACGAGGGUCCCGCUGCAGGCGGCUGUGCACACGGCAGCCGAGAAACUCCUCUCCCCUCUUCAGGGAGUCCCCAGCUCUUAGCUCCAUUUUACGUGCAAUUACUGGAAGAGCCCACAUCGGCCAGGAGCCCCACCUCCCAACCUCAGGGGAUAGUUCAGGGGUGUGCAGCACCCCAGGGAGGACAAUCGGGGUUCUUCACUCCAAUCUGUGUUGAGAGGUUGGGAGCUGAACUGCGGGUUGUUGGCAGCGGGUGUUUUCUGCUGCAUCAACUAAGAAGUAGAAAAGUCUGAUCAUCAGAGAGAGAGGAGCAAGGGCAGGAGAUAGAGAGACUUCCAACAGGGUCUGCGCGCCUAACUCUUGUUCUUGAGAUCAACACAGUCCUGCUUUCAGCCUCCGCCAGUCACCACAGGGCCUUUGAGCCAAACCCUGUUUUUGUUUGAGCUGGUUUGAGUUCUGUCAUUUGCAUCCCAAACAGCACUGAUGACUACACAAUACACACACAGACACAUAGUAAAGUAAAACAAGAAAGGACAAAUGUGAAUGAGUUUUCAUGGGAAGAGCUCUGAGGACCCUAGCUUCGCCACCUCCCUGCUUUGUGACGUUAGGCAACUUCAUAACCUCUCUGAACCCCUGUUCCCUUGCCCGUGACAUAAGAACAAUAACAUCUCUUUUGCAGGAUCAUGCAAUGCCCUCCGGCCAAAGGCUACCAGGAACACACCUUUCGGUUGAACAAAGUUGGCUUUUUGAGUCACUGCACUGGAGGGGAAUGCGCACCCCUGGAUGUCUCGGGGAGGGGAUGUUAGUAGGACUGAUCAUGGGAUUUGGGCUCGCAUUAAGUGAUUUUGCAGGCUGUUUCUCUAGGCUGGAUGCUGUCAGGAAGCAAGGGUAAUUCUGUGAUUGGGUAUGUCAAUGAUUCUCUUCUAGACGGCAGGAGGAACUGAGCAAAGCUACAACUGCAAUUAGUUAAGAAACAUUUGAGCCAGGAAGGGGAACAUUUGGGCAGUUUUGUCAUUUGGACGAUGUUCACGUUUUCGUCUGCGUUCAGGCAGGACUACAGAAUGGUCUCGUCUUUGUUUUGAUCCUUCAUGGUUACCGAGCGGUCUUGUCUGAUGUUUCUGGGCUGUAGAACUGUUCAUGUCCAACAGAACACCAUGGCCUGGCUGUGAAUGCCAGGCCAGCCCAGGCUGUCAGAGGGCUUUCCCCUUUCUCAGUUGUUAUGAGGAUAACGUGCCCACACUUGGCAAACCAUAGGCAAUAUUUCAGCUAUGCUGGAGCAGUGAUGAUCUGGAGGUUGAUACAUUAUGUGGCAGAGGCUGCCCGCACCACAGAGGCUCAGAGAAGGUUGAAGUUGCACAGGGAUGCUUCCAGCAGCAGUGUUUAAGCUGGGUUUUUAAGGAUGAAUAGAAGUUGCAAGAGGAGGAAGGAUGACUCCAAAUAAAUCAGAGCAGAGGCCUGAUUAGCCCACUUUGGUGGGUUGUCAUGGUGCCUCUCUGCCAAGAGGCAGUAGUCCCCCAUAGUUGACCAGGGGUCCCCCAUCCCCACUUCAGGCAACAGGAUCUGGACUGCACCAGGAGGAACACAUGACUGUGCCAGUCAGCACA
rnacentral:lncRNA from 10 species